AGGGAACCCAGAAGAUCAAGUCGCCAGGACCAGGUUUCUACUUGCCCGUCAUGCCAUGAGGCUCAGGACAAGGUUGACAUUUUUGUAGAAGUUCUAACCAGUGUGAUGAAUCAGGCUGGAUCAUGGUAUUUGCAGAAGGAACUAAGGUCAUAGUAACUCCCCCGGAUAGAAGCCUUGAUGCAGACCCUUCCCCCAAGCCCACACUCUUUCUUCCUUCAAUGGCUGAAAUAAAAUUCGAUAGGACUGGAACGUAUCUUUGUCUUCUUGAGAAUUUCUUCCCUGAUGUUGUCAAGAUAGACUGGAAAGAAAAGAACAGCAAAAGAAUUCUGAUAUCCCAGCAGGGAAACACCAUGAAGACAAAGGACACAUACAUGAAAUACACCUGGUUGACGCGCACUAAAAAGUCAACAAAUAAAGAACACAAAUGUAUCUUCACACAUGAGACUAAUAAAGGAGGGGUUGAUCAUGAGAUUGCUUUUCACUCAAUGAAAAAAGAGCUCGCUGUCAUUGAUUCUAUAGAAGCUUCUCUGAAAGAUGAAAAUGACCCCCUACAGCUGCAGCUUGCGAACACCUCUGCCUACUACACCUACGUCAUCCUCCUCGUCAAAAGUAUGGUCUACACUGUCAUCAUCACCUACUGUCUGCUUGGGAGACCAGCACUCUGCCGCAAUGAGAAGAGUUGUAACACAUGGUGGCCCAAGGCUCCACUUUUCUUUACUGGCUAUUGUCGCUAAAGGUGUCUGCUGAGGCUCUAGCGGGGCUUUCUUUCUGGGUGUGGGUUAUUGCAGUUCACAUGUGUCUUUUUUCUAUGUGUCAUCACUGCAGAAUGGGUUUACAAACUGCUGGGCAAACAGGAAAUGUCACUCUGCACGAAGAACAGACUCUGCCAUGAGUCAGGGGCGGGGCCGGGGGGCACUCACGGGGGCUUCAGUACCGCUCUCUCCUUCAUGGCCACCAGCCCGUCAGCCACCCACCACCCUCGCCUCUGAGUACAGCUGACGUGCAGCUUCCAUAGCGGCCCCUGGGUCUCUGUAUCCAGAUAACUGCCUGGAGGCCUUUUAUUUUACAUUUCUGGAAACUGCUAUCUUUGCUACCUGAAUUUUGUACUGUUGUUCAUAACAGGCAUAAUAAAAAGAAUCAAAAGUGUACUUUUAUCUCUGUGU